rnacentral:snRNA from 1 species
GUGCAUGCUUCGGAAGCACAUUUACUAAAAUUGGAGCGAUACAGAGAAGAUUAGCAUGGCCCCCGUGCAAGGAUGACACACAAAUUCGUGAUGUGUUCCAUGUUUUU